rnacentral:rRNA from 1 species
CUGGACGUAUCAGAAGUGCGAAUGCUGACAUGAGUAACGAUAAAGGGGGUGAAAAACCUCCUCGCCGGAAGACCAAGGGUUCCUGUCCAACGUUAAUCGGGGCAGGGUAAGUCGACCCCUAAGGCGAGGCCGAAAGGCGUAGUCGAUGGGAAACGGGUUAAUAUUCCCGUACUUCUUACAAUUGCGAUGGGGGGACGGAGAAGGCUAGGUGGGCCUGGCGACGGUUGUCCAGGUUCAAGUGCGUAGGCUUAAGAGUUAGGUAAAUCCGGCUCUUUUUAAGGCUGAGACACGACGUCGAGCACCUACGGGUGUGAAGUCAUUGAUGCCAUGCUUCCAGGAAAAGCCUCUAAGCUUCAGAUUGUAAGGAAUCGUACCCCAAACCGACACAGGUGGUCGGGUAGAGAAUACCAAGGCGCUUGAGAGAACUCGGGUGAAGGAACUAGGCAAAAUGGUACCGUAACUUCGGGAGAAGGUACGCUCUUGAUGGUGAAGUCCCUUGCGGAUGGAGCUGACGAGAGUCGCAGAUACCAGGUGGCUGCAACUGUUUAUUAAAAACACAGCACUGUGC